CACAGCAUUUAAAUACAUCUUAAAAACUGAACAACAUUUAGUGUUCAAUCCAUAGAGCACACCUUCGCUGUCCUGAGACCCUCAGGGGACCACCAAGGAAGAGCCCAGACUCCAGUGGGCAUCUCACAGGCAGACGGCUGGAGUGCUCAUCCACCUGACACACAAGGUAAAAGAACAUUAAUUAGAACAAGGAAGAGAAAACACUAACUCACAGCCCUUCACACAAUCUUAAACUGAAUAACAUAAUAUUUUGUAUUCAAUCCGUAGAGCACACCUUUUCUGUCCUGAGACCCUCAGGUGACUACCAAGGAAGAACACUGACUCCAGUGGGCGUCUCUCAGGCAGACCAUCACGGCUGGAGUGUAUAUCCACCUAACACACAAGAGCACACCUUUUCUGUCCCGAGACCCUCAGGGGACCACCAAGGAAGAACACUGAGUAAGUUAAGAAGGGGAAAAACAAAAUGUCUGAUAACUUUAACAAUGUCCAGGAAUACAGACAUGAUGGGCUGCAACAUUCACAGGAAGCUGUUUGUUC